GUGAGGAAUAUUGGACAAUGGGCGCAAGCCUGAUCCAGCCAUGCCGCGUGCAGGAAGACGCAUCUAUGGUGUGUAAACUGCUUUUGUACGUGAAGAAACACUCCCUCGUGAGGGAGCUUGACGGUACCGUAAGAAUAAGGAUCGGCUAACUCCGUGCCAGCAGCCGCGGUAAUACGGAGGAUCCAAGCGUUAUCCGGAAUCAUUGGGUUUAAAGGGUCCGUAGGCGGUUUAAUAAGUCAGUGGUGAAAGCCCAUCGCUCAACGAUGGAACGGCCAUUGAUACUGUUAGACUUGAAUUACAAGGAAGUAACUAGAAUAUGUAGUGUAGCGGUGAAAUGCUUAGAUAUUAGGAGGAACACCAGUGGCGAAGGCGACUUACUGGACUGUAACUGACGCUGAAGCACGAAAGCGUGGGGAGCGAACAGGAUUAGAAACCCGUGUAGUCC
rnacentral:rRNA from 1 species